AUAAAUCUUGAUAACGGAUAUAUAUUUAGACCUGAUCAAAGCGUACAGUUAUAAAAUGUAGGAAUUUUCAGUUUUUCAUAUUGGAGGAAGACCCCAGGUGCUCCUUUUACCAGCGACGAAGGGUCAAUGGUUUAGGGUCUGAUCAUAAUGUCAGAAUGCAGUGAUGUUAAAAUCUCACAGCAGAAUGCUGCACGUCCACCACCAAUAGCGCUUGGAAUCAACGUAGAAAAACCAAAGUUCCCUCAAUAUGCCUUGGUUCCCUAAACGUCUUGAAUCUUACAAAGAAUGGCCAGAAUAUAUUCCAAUAGAUAAGGCAGAUCUGGUAGAAGCAGGAUUAGUGUAUACAGGUGUUGGUGACAGUGUGAGGUGUUAUUUCUGUGGUGGAGGUUUAAAAAACUGGGAACGCGGCGACGUCCCUAUAGAAGAGCACGCCAAAUGGUAUCCGAAGUGUCCUCAUAUACUUCUUGUAAAGGGGACAGGCCUAUGUUGAGAAGCUGAGCCGUGGUGAAAAACCUGAUGUGGAAGAAGUUGAUAAUAAUAAACAGGCAUCGAUAGAUGACAAACAUCACCUCGAAACUGCAGCUGCUCGGAGUUGUAUUGACAUGGGUUUCUCGGAAGUAAUGGUGAAGAAAGCAAUUAAGAUCUUUAUU
rnacentral:lncRNA from 1 species